UCCCGCUUAGCUCAGCGGUAGAGCGCGUCACUAGUAACCAUCACGUGGUUAUGACGAGGUCAGUCGUUCAAAUCGGCUAGUGGGAA